AAGCCCCAAAAAACACCUGAGAAGACCGCCAUCACAAUCAUUUCCUAUUAGAAUUUCACACAUUUUUCCUUUAUUUUCGUGUAUAAUGACGUUUUUUCUCUGCCAGGAUGAACCAGCUCGUCCCUGAAGCUUCCCGCGUCUCCCAGCAGCCGCCAUAUUUAUUAUUAACACGUUUAUCUAUAUUAAUUUACGUAUUUUUAAGGAAUUAUUACCCAUUGGAAGUUUGCUAUUGUCAGUGUAACGGAGAUUAGCAUUGAGGCCAAGCGCACCUAUACCAUCUCCCAUUAGCCGCCAUAUGCAUAAUUAACCCACUUAUCCAUAUUAUCUAUAUUAUUUUGAGGAAUUAUUGCCCAUACGAGUGAUUUUUGGGGGUUUUCAAGACAUGCUAGUAGACCCAAAAGGCGGUGUUACGGAUUUGAGCACUGGGGCCUUGCGCAGAUUAACCCCAUGUCGUUUUCUAUACCCCCAUGGCUGUUCCGAGUGGUUACGUCACCUGCGGCAGCCUUGAAAUUAGUUACAUAUACUUUUUACCUGAUUAAUUGUUGUCUCGUAAUAUCGGAAAUGGCUCUUGCGAUCUUGUGUUCUCAUUUCUUUAUUUGUGUUUCGGUUGCUGAGUUUGUGUUUCGUGAGGUUAGAUUAAGUGUCGACGCCCACUUGUCAACUCGAUAGGCCUGGUUUUGGUAAAGAUUGGCAAUUUUACGCAGUGGAUUUUAUCGCUAAUCUCUUUCGUAUUGAUUUCUGAGAGGUUUGCAGGCUAGUAAUAAGGUAUAUAAGGUUGAAUUAAAUGUUGACGCCCACCUGUCAACUCGAUAGGUCUGGUUUUAGUAAAGAUUGGCAAUUUUACACAGUGGGUUUUAUCGCUAAUCUAUUUCAUAUUGAUUCCUGAGAGGUUUGCAGGCUAGUAAUAAGGUAUAUAAGGUUGAAUUAAAUGUCGACGCCCACUUGUUAACUCGAUAGGCCUGGUUUUGGUAAAGAUUUGGAAUUUUACGCUGUGGAUUUUAUCGCUAAUCUCUUUCGUAUUGAUUCCUGAGAGGUUUGCAGGCUAGUAAUAAGGUAUAUAAGGUUGAAUUAAAUGUCGACGCCCACCUGUCAACUCGAUAGGCCUGGUUUUGGUAAAGAUUGGCAAUUUUACGCAGUGGAUUUUAUCGCUAAUCUCUUUCGUAUUGAUUCCUGAGAGGUUUGCAGGCUAGUAAUAAGGUAUAUAAGGUUGAAUUAAAUGUCGACGCCCACCUGUCAACUCGAUAGGCCUGGUUUUGGUAAAGAUUUGGAAUUUUACGCUGUGGAUUUUAUCUCUACUCUCUUUCAUAAUGAUUUCCAAGAGGUUUGAAGGCUAGUAGGAAGGUAUUUAUGUUAAGUUAAUAGUCGACGCCCACCUGUUAACUCGAUAGGUCUGGUUUCGGUAAAGGUUAGCAAUUUUACGCAGUGGAUUUUAUCUCUACUCUUUCAUAAUGAUUUCCGAGAUUAUUUGAAGGCUAGUAGGAAGGUAUUUAGGUUAAGUUAAUAGUCGAUGCCCACCUGUUAACUCGAUAGGCCUGGUUUUGGUAAAGAUUUGGAAUUUUACGCUGUGGAUUUUAUCUCUACUGUCUUUCAUAAUGAUUUCCGAGAUGUUUGAAGGCUAGUAGGAAGGUAUUUAGGUUAAGUUAAUAGUCGACGCCCACCUGUUAACUCGAUAGGUCUGGUUUCGGUAAAGGUUAGCAAUUUUACGCAGUGGAUUUUAUCUCUACUCUCUUUCGUAUUGAUUUCCGAGAGGUUUGCAGGCUAGUAGUGAAGUAUAUAAGGUUGUCAAUAAUCAACACCCACCUGUUAACUCGAUAGGUCUGAUUACGAUAAAGAAUGGCAAUUUUAUGCUGUGGAUUUUAUCUCUAGACUCUUUCGUAUUGAUUUCCGAGAGGUUGGAUGGCUACUUUGUUUUACCAAGGGAGGCAGGGCAAGGGAAGGAAAAAAAAAAAAGAGAAAGCCUGCUUGACGCUACUCAGAACUAAAAAAAAAAGCAUAAGGCCAGAGGAAAAGAACCAAUUACUGAUAGACAACCAAAAUAAACAGUAUAGAUAAACAACCAAAGUAGCAAUAAACAGAUACACAACCAAAGUAAAUAGACAGACAACCGAAGAAGCAAUAGACAGAUAGAAGAUGAUAAUGAUGAUAACUAUAAUAUAACUGAUAGUAUUAUAUUGACAAAGAGUUCCUUAUCUCAUUGUCUCUUCUCACACCUCUCUGCAUCCUCCCAUUGUUAUCACACACACACACACACACACACACACACGCUCACCCAGUACAAAAUCCACAUAUAUAAUUAAUAAUGUUGAUGCUAAAAACAGUAAAAUGAGAGGAACUUCUUAUUUCAUUCAAGUUAAUUAUGCUUUUCUUUCUUUUUUAAGUGUGUGAGUAAGCUUUGUGUGUGUGUGUGUGUGUGUGUUGGUCUACAUAGGGGUUUAAGGUUAUAGAGUUUUUAUAUAUUCAUUUCUGCCUUGCUUUUUUUUUUAAUUUUUGCAUCUUUUUCAGGUUCAACUUCUUCCUUCGCCUCAAAGAAAAUAGAAAAAAAAAUCGAACUUAGAAUUAAUUUAUUAUCGGAACAAUUAUUGAAACUUCUUAUCUAGAUUUAUUUAUUUAUUUGUUUAUUUAUAACUGCAUAGAUUGAAAUUGAUAUCUAGUUUUUUUUGUUUGUUUGUUUAUUAAUCUAUCAAUGCAAUGACUUAGAUAAAUAUUUGCAUGG